CAGCAGGCUGUGACACAGCCUGGGAUUGGACCCGGGGCUGUAGUGACGCCUUAUGUCACUCGGGAAGCCUUUAAGGUCAACAGUUGAAGAGAGAAGACACUGCUGAGAUGGGGGCCAUAGGGGCCCACCUCAAAGACCAUCUGAUCAAAGUCCUAUCUCAUACACAAUUUCACGCCCAAGAGGGUCCUAGACUUAGGCAGGGCCAUGACAAUACCAGUAAGAGGAACCGACUGAGUUUCUGCCAAACAACAGAAAAGGUGUGUUUAUAUUGGACAUACAAGGAGGGGACACCUAGUCAUAGUGCAGAGGGCCAGGAGGAUGAUGGAGAGGAGGAGGAAGAGCAGAGAGAAAACAACGACCUCUAUAGAGAAUGAUUUCGACACUGACACUGCCCAUGACUCCAUGAACUCUCCCACUGGCGCCAUGGCAACUGCUG